GAUGAACGCUGGCGGCGUGCCUAACACAUGCAAGUCGAGCGGGAUCUUCCGGAUUGAAGCUUCGGCAGAUUGAAGGAAGUGAGAGCGGCGGACGGGUGAGUAACGCGUAGGCAACCUGCCCUUUGCAGAGGGAUAGCCAUUGGAAACGAUGAUUAAUACCGCAUAAGAUUGUAGCUUCGCAUGAAGUAGCAAUUAAAGGAGCAAUCCGCUAUGAGAUGGGCCCGCGGCGCAUUAGCUAGUUGGUGAGUAACGGCUCACCAAGGCGACGAUGCGUAGCCGACCUGAGAGGGUGAUCGGCCACAUUGGGACUGAG
rnacentral:rRNA from 1 species